AUUGAACGCUGGCGGCAGGCUUAACACAUGCAAGUCGAGCGAGCGGCGGACGGGUGCGUAAUGUCUGGGAAACUGCCUGAUGGAGGGGGAUAACUACUGGAAACGGUAGCUAAUACUGCAUACCAUCAGAUGUGCCCAGAUGGGAUUAGCUAGUCGGUGGGGUAAUGGCUCACCGAGGCGACGAUCCCUAGCUGGUCUGAGAGGAUGACCAGCCACACGAGAACUGGGACACGGUCCAGAGUCCUACGUGAGGCAGCAGUGGGGAAUAUUGCACAAUGGACGCAAGCCUGAUGAAGCCAUGCCGCGUGUGUGAAGAAGGCCUUCGGGUUGUAAAGCACUUUCAGCGAGGAGGCGUUACUCGCAGAAGAAGCACCGGCUAACUCCGUGCCAGCAGCCGCGGUAAUUC
rnacentral:rRNA from 1 species